AAGUCAUAACAAGGUUUCCGUAGGUGAACCUGCGGAAGGAUCAUUAUUGAAUUUGGCCUUCUGGCCUUAUACAUUAAUAUACACUGUGAACCGUGGCUUCGGCCCAAACUUGAAGUCUUGAAUGUAAUAUAUCAUAACAAAAUACAACUUUUAACAACGGAUCUCUUGGCUCUC
rnacentral:misc_RNA from 1 species